rnacentral:rRNA from 2 species
CCGCGACCCCAGGUCAGGCGGGAU